rnacentral:misc_RNA from 1 species
AACGCACAUUGUGCCCCUCAGCACUCUGGGGGGCAUGCCUGUCCGAGCGUCAUUGCAACCCUCAAGCGCUGCCGCUUGGUGUUGGGUGCCACCGUGGUGUGCCCCAAAAGCAGUGGCGGGACCGUCCGGCCGCAAGCGUAGUAGCAUCUCAGCUUGUGGUGCCUGGGCGCGUGCCCCGCUGUCGCCUUCUGUCAGAGUCGACCUCGGAUCAGGUAGGGUUACCCGCUGAACUUAA